UUUAAAUGCAAUUAUGAGUUUUCCUACCGAAUUUUGAUCGUCCGUCAUAUUUGAAAACUUUUUGUAAUUAUUAUUUUUGUUGUUAUCAUAGAAUAAAAUAUAAAUAGUUAUAAAAAGUAAUUAAUAAGUCAGACGAUUAAAAUUGAAUAUGAAAAAUUAUAGCUACAUUUAGA
rnacentral:pre_miRNA from 1 species